AUAACUGCCUUGAAUAUGCGUAAUUUUAAAAUCCUUCAAUACUUGCCUGUGAAUUAUUGAAAUUGGUGAAACUGAAAAUUGAGUAUAUGUUAUAUUUUCUGGACACCCUUUAAAUACCUGGGAUCAAAAGUAUUUGCACACCUGUAUAUUUAUUUAACUUCUAUAUAAGAAUAUUUAAUAUGUUGUUUUAACAUUAGGUUAAUGAUGAUGUUGUUUCUCAGACUUGAUUGAGAAGUAAAGAGGCACCCAACAAGCAUUGAAGAAGAUGAUGAGACUCAAAAAAGCACAACGCUUAUAAGAGACAUAUCAGACUUGGUUGGUUUGCUAAAAUCAGCAAGUGGGAUUAGUUAAAAAAUGUAAGAAGGUUAAGUCGUGGAUAUUCAUAUACAGCAUGGCCCAGCUACUCCUUUACCGAGGAACCUGGUAUUAAAGUUACUGUGAUGGAGUGGUUUGAAUCAUAUCUUUCAAUCUAUCUAGCAAUAUGUAAAUGCAAAUGAGGAGUCUACUUUACAUACUAAAACUAAUUAUGGAGUUUCACAGGGUUCUGGCUUAGGAUCCAUUCUAUUUACCUCAUACAUAUUCCCCUAGGCAGUAUUAUAGGAAGGCACAGCGUAAGUUUUUAUUUGGUUUGCAGAUCAUACCCAGCUUUGUUUAUCCAUGAAGCCAGAUCACAACCACCAAUUAGUUGAACUUAAGUUAAAGACAUAAAGGUCUGGAUGACCGCUUUAACUUUUUAGUAUUACUUUUUACUUUUUUGUUUAUUACUUCUAGGCUGGAUUAUUAAAAUUCAGUAUUAUAUGAUUGUUCUAAAAGCUACCUGAAAAGCCUUCAGCUGAUCUAUAAUUCUCAUAAGACACACAUUAUUCAGUAAAAUGAUCAAUAGAAUAGACCUGCCCAACAAAUCUGCAUAUCAGUAUCAUGCAUAUUUCAGUUGAAAAAAGUGUAUUUAAAAAAAAAGAAAUGUUCUCGACUAUCAGAAGAAGUCCUUUUGAUCGUUUAAUAACACAUUUUUAUUUCAUUUAUUAAAACAGCAUUUUUGGCUUGUUGACUGUCAUGGUCCCUCGGUGCUCCCAGGCUGUCUGCUCCAGGUUUGUUUUCUUUCUGUCUCUCUCCCUUGGUUUUCUCUUUCUCCUCUUUCUGUAUCUGUGCUGAUUUGAUGGUGUUUGCUUUCGUGGGCGGGACUCAUCGUGGGUUGCUGCCUCUGGCCGAACACACCUGUGACAGUCAAUCACCUGUUCUUGAUUAUCCCAUGAAGCAGGGACAUUCUUCACUGGGUUGUUAAACUACUCGAUCCCCAGAUUUCCCUCCCUGGUGUGUAUUGUGCAAAGACCCUGAGUUUGAGAGAGAGGGAGUGUUACCUGUAAGUAUAGCUGUGGUCUCCAUAUGAGCCUGAUCCCUGCAGGAGAUUUUCCAGCAAGGCCUUUUUAGUGUUUCCAAAGACUAUCUGAUCACUAAAGGUUAUGGCGGCAGCUCAAGGGCAACGACUGUGGGAUUCCCUGUGAAGAUCUCAGGCAAGUGAACUCUCUCAGCUCUUUUAAAUCUCUUCUUACACUUCUACAACCACUCUGACUCUAGUUU